rnacentral:lncRNA from 1 species
CGCCCAACAUUUGAGCGAGCGCUCGGUAACAAUGGCAAAGCGUCAUUCGAGCGGCACGCAGCACGUGCGGCCUUGGCAUGCCCUUGGCGCUCCUCGGGCGGCGCGCGGAGAGCGCGGCACAGCUGCGGCUUCCGGGUGGGCGAACGCGCCGGCCGCGCAGCCACGUGUCUUGGACGGGGCGUCAGGGGCGCACGAUCGCAAGGCGGGUCCUGCGGCCGCCUACGGCGUGUGCGCGCGACGCCGGCUGCUGCGCGGACGCGCGCCAACUUCAAACGGGCGCGCGCGCCGCGUUGCGCAAUGGCGACCGCAGCGCGCGCCUCCUCAGAGAGUCGGCAUGGUGUCAGAGACAAUUGGGCAAGCGGCGGGGAACACGCUGCAUGUCUCAGCCGGGGGAACGACCCAAAGGUUCACGCGCCCAGGAUCGCGGCGCAAGGUGCCAAGACAACAGUUGCGUUUGGAGGCUGACGGACCUUGGCUGGCGAUAUGACAAACAACGCUUCUAGCAUAUGGGAUGCAAACCCUGGUCGACACUACUGCUGACAAUGGAAAUAAAUAAUUCACAUUCGACGUCGACAUAUAUCCACUUAAUAAAAUACAAUCUGGUGUCGUUGUCUGCUUCUGGA